CCUACGGGUGGCAGCAGUGGGGAAUAUUGCACAAUGGGGGAAACCCUGAUGCAGCGACGCCGCGUGAAGGAAGAAGUAUUUCGGUAUGUAAACUUCUAUCAGCAGGGAAGAAAAUGACGGUACCUGACUAAGAAGCCCCGGCUAACUACGUGCCAGCAGCCGCGGUAAUACGUAGGGGGCAAGCGUUAUCCGGAUUUACUGGGUGUAAAGGGAGCGUAGGCGGUUUAGCAAGUCAGAAGUGAAAGCCCGGGGCUCAACUCCGGGACUGCUUUUGAAACUGUUGAACUAGAGUGCAGGUGAGGUAAGUGGAAUUCCUAGUGUAGCGGUGAAAUGCGUAGAUAUUAGGAGGAACACCAGUGGCGAAGGCGGCUUACUGGACUGUAAAUGACGCUGAGGCUCGAAAGCGUGGGGAGCAAACAGGAUUAGAUACCCGAGUAGUC
rnacentral:rRNA from 1 species